CUCCCGAAAAAACCUCAUCUACCAGCCACGUCGCCCACCACCGCCUCCCCGUCCCCUGCUCGAUUCACCGCAGCCGCCACCGUCCAGGCGGAUUCCCCGGCGCAGCGCCCCUAUCUCGACCUCCUUCCUCCUCCCCAGCCGACUCUCGGGCAGCGCCGCCAGAUUCAACAGCGGUGUGGUCUUUCAGGAGCAGGUCGAGUGCUGGACGGCAGGAGGUAGGACCAGUUCGCCGGAUCGUAGGUCCUCGCCGCCGCCGUUGUGGUGUGGCUCACCGUCAUAUUCCCGUUCCAGGCAGCAGCAUCAGCAGCAGCAGAGGCCAGACCAAUGAAUUCCUCUCCGCAUUAUCUAUUCAUUGAGAUAAUUCUCUGUGCCUUCCAUGUCCGAGAAUACAAAGUUUCAGCUUGAUUUCCCUAUCCGAUACUACAAGUUCCUAGGUGGAUUCGAUCCUUUCUCUUUGACUAAUUUAUCUGCUACGAAUUCAUCAGAUUCUUUAUUUGACAUUCCAAAUCCAGGGUGUGUCGCGGCCAAGUGCAGAUGUGUGGGCAGUUUUGCUGAUCUCCUACGCCUUCAGAUCCGAAGGUCUAUCCAGGUGAAUAAAUACCUAAUUUCGCAUUUGGAUUAGAUGUCUAAUGCUCACCCUCUUGGACAUGUAUAUAUGUCAUUCAUGGGACCUGUGAUUUCUUAAAUGGUUGCAUUUGUUCUAGUAUUGUAUUUUUUUACGGGAGUUGGAACUCCACAAGAUAAUUUUUACUCUUUACUAUUUAUCAUAGAUAAUUAUCAUACAGAAAAUAUCUGACAUAGAUUACUGAUCUGAAGGAAAAAAUAAAUUGAUUUGUGUUGUUCUUUUUCCGAGCAUUGCUUCAUAUACCAGAUUGUCCCAUCAAGUUGAACCGGCAAAACAGCAGGAGCAAGUCGAUCAUGCUCCUUUUUCUAUAGCACAUCGGAAGAGGUGUGGGGCACCAGCAAACACAUCAUUCUUGUAGUACAAGAUGUAGUUAGGCAAGAACAUAAUGAUUUAUGACCUGUAGAGAGGCAAUAAGGUGAUGAUUUAUGGCCCGCUGCUUAUGCAUGCUUAUGUUUUAUCUAGUCCAUGAUUUUUCUUAAAAAACUAUUUCAUUGAUGCAGUUAAUAAUAUCUCAUUUUGAAAUAACAAGUAUUUUUCGGUGAAUCUUAAAGACUAUGUGGCACAAAAGGAAAACCUACAAGAAGUGAACCGAACGGACCUGUGGUACACUUUGCUGCAAAAUGAAGAAGAAUGAGGAAGAACACAACGCACCAAGAUUAUAAGUCAUAACCCAAGUCAACAACAUGUUCAAAGACAAUUGAAUAGUGAGGUCCUAUGGUUGAUGUUGUGCUCGCGCCAAGAAGCUUUUUUCAACGGAAGACUAGAAGUAGCAACAUAUGUAGUCUUUAUCGAUGGAAUGAAGAAUGUAAUAUAUUUGUGAGAGUGCCUACCAAAUAAUUAAAUGUAAUGCAUGAUACAUUAAUGGUGUCGCGCUUUAUUUUCUCUGUUA